GGGCAGGGGCGGCGGUUGGGGGUUGGGAGGCACCCCCAGUACCAGCCCGUUCAAAUCCCUGAAGCCUAUAAUUUACAUUUCUGACAAGUCCUCUGGUGAUGUGGGUGCUGCUCAGCUGGGAACCACAUUUUGAGAAGUACAGGAUUAGAGGAAUUUUUAAGUUUUUUAAAAAUCAUUGGAGUGAGGGAAAAAAAACUAAGGGGAAGACGAAAUUUUUAAAAGUAAUCAAAGUUUCCUCUUCAAGAGAUCAGAAGAGAAAAAUAAGAGAGGACAUUGAUUGGGCCAGUCGUACUGGAUUAAGACGUUGCUUCCAGACGAUAAUGAGGGAAGAAACCAGCAAAGUUUUACCCAGGUUGUUCUUGUCUAAACCAAAUGCCUGUGGCAGUCCUGUCCUACUUGAUCAUAUACUUGAUCCUUUAGGACGGUAUGGGUUGGUUCAAUGAGAGAAAAAGAAGAGGUAAUAAUACAGG